UGGGGAAUUUUGGACAAUGGGCGAAAGCCUGAUCCAGCAAUGCCGCGUGUGUGAAGAAGGCCUUCGGGUUGUAAAGCACUUUUGUCCGGAAAGAAAUCCUUGGCUCUAAUACAGUCGGGGGAUGACGGUACCGGAAGAAUAAGCACCGGCUAACUACGUGCCAGCAGCCGCGGUAAUACGUAGGGUGCAAGCGUUAAUCGGAAUUACUGGGCGUAAAGCGUGCGCAGGCGGUUUGCUAAGACCGAUGUGAAAUCCCCGGGCUCAACCUGGGAACUGCAUUGGUGACUGGCAGGCUAGAGUAUGGCAGAGGGGGGUAGAAUUCCACGUGUAGCAGUGAAAUGCGUAGAGAUGUGGAGGAAUACCGAUGGCGAAGGCAGCCCCCUGGGCCAAAUACUGACGCUCAUGCACGAAAGCGUGGGGAGCAAAACAGGAUUAGAUACCCUGGUAGUCCACGCCCUAAAACGAUGUCAACUAGUUGUUGGGGAUUCAUUUCCUUAGUAACGUAGCUAACGCGUGAAGUUGACCGCCUGGGGAGUACGGUCGCAAAGAUUAAAACUCAAAUGAAUUGACGGGGUCAUAGCUGUUUCCU
rnacentral:rRNA from 1 species